rnacentral:rRNA from 1 species
GUCUACAGCCAUGCCACCCUGAACAAGCCUGAUGUCUGAUCUCAGAAGCUAAGCAGGGUUGGGCGUGGUUUAGUACUUGGAUGGGAGACCACCUAGCAAGGCCAGGGUGCUGUAGGCA